rnacentral:lncRNA from 1 species
GCAAAAUACACAAAAAUAUACCUAAACCUAGACUCUACCUAUAAAGUAAUGCUUAAAAAAUCUAAAAGGGACAAGAAAUAACGCUGAAGGAGGAAGCUAAAAAAAUCUGCGCACAAUACAGACCCACCCCCUCUCGGAUCAUCUUCCACACACCAGCAUACCCCAUCAGCUUCCCCUUCAUUUUCAACGCUGAACCAUCGGCUGAACACAAGAAUGGGAUCCUAGAUCCCUUGAGAAGAAACGAGGCUCUCUUCUUCUUCUUCUUCAACGGAGCUUCAAACAAAAGAAACGACCCCCGUCCCCAUUCUUCAUCUUCUCCGACGCCUGAGCGUAGCAGCCAUAGCCAUGGUGCUUCUGCUUCUUCCCGUUAACAACACCUGAAAUACACAUCUACCUAUUUCUUAGGUUUCGAUCUAUGGUCCCAAAUAUGGAGUACGGUUGGGUUCGAGUCUGAGUUUUCUGGUAAGCGUUGAGGUCAUUGUUCGUCUCCGCUUCUGUCCGUGGUCGCCGAUCCGGGAUAUGUUUGUUGAGGACGGGUUCUUGGUUCAACAUUAGCCUAUCUCUGUUGUUUCACAAUUCAUUUUGGAGGUUUUGUAUUGAAUCAAAUAUUGGAAAGAACUACGGCUAAAGAUUCUCUUAAAGGUUCAGUUUCUUAUUUUUGAUUUCCUUCUGCUUUGAUAAAUUUGCUCGUGACUGAUUCAUUACCCAUUUGCCAAUACUCCCCUUCCCUUUUGUUUUACAUGUGAAUUGAUUUGUUUACUUAUUUUAUGAUUUUGUUGUGAUUAGUGACCUUGAGUACCCAACUGUCAUGUGAACGUCUGUUUGUUAUUAAUUUGUAUGAUGUUAUGGAGUAAUUGCACAGAGAAUCGAAUUAAAGUGUCAUUGCCAUAUUUUGAAUAUGUUAUGGUAUUUUUAUGGUAAAAAAAAAUAAGAAUGUAUUUUUACUUUAUUUGUUUGGAUCAAUAGUAGCAUACUUAGGCCGUUAAUAUUCAUAAACAUUCGUAGUUUGUUUUAGUUGAGUAAAGCCCUUUUGGAAUAAUUUGAGGCUUGCCAUGCCAAACCAAAUCCAUAAUCCAUGGCCCUCAGAUAAUUAACUUCGACUCUUUAGAAUUCGAGGCGCGCCAUUUAGCGAACUUCCAUGGCCCUCGCAAAUUUGCAAACGCGUAAUUGCUUUAGGCGCAUUAGUUUAAUAAUUUACCUUCCUAAACUCGGGUGCACAUUUAUGUGACCGAAAUCCAAAUCUCAACGUUAGGUGAAAUUUGUUGUAGACUACGGGUGCAUUUAUGUGACGUGGUUCAAGACAUAUUUUAAAUGACGUUGCAAUUUUCCUUAAAAAAUUAAAUAAAGCGGAUAAAAGUUUAAAAUUUCACAUAGGUUCAAAAUGUAUUAAAAUCAUAUAAUAGGCCAAUUAUAAUAGUUGAGCGACCGUGCUAGAACCACGAAAUUCGGGAAUGCCUAACACCUUCUCCCGGGUUAACAGAAUUCCUUACCCGGAUUUCUGGUUCGCGGACUAUUAAACAAAGUCAAGCUUUUCCUCGAUUCGGGAUUCAAUCGGUGACUUGGGACACCAUAAAUCUCCCAAGUGGCGACUCUGAAUCUUUUAAUAAUUAAUCCUGUUUCGAUUGUCCUUUAAUUGAAAAAACUCCUUUAUACCCUUGUGGGGGUAGGAAAAAGGAGGUGUGACAACCGUUACCGAACCGUUAACCCAAUAUCCCGAUAUCAAUACCCCAAUAGCUUUUUUCAGUUCGGGCUAUCGGUUAUACCCGAUAUAUGCCCAGCCUUACCUUAAAUCGAGGUAUUCCAACUUUGUUUUUGUUAAAACUCAUAUAAAAAUGCAUAUUAAUUGUUUUGAAUGUAUUGUAUGUUGUUUUGUGGUUUUGUUGCGAUUAAAUUGGUAUUUUAUUUUUAUCCGGACUAAGAUAUUAAUGUUGUAAAAAAAUCUAAUAUAAUUGUGAAAUCGUUAUUAUUUGUUAAUAAAUUACUAUUAAUGUUUUAUAUGUAUUUUUGUGAUUACAAUAUAUUUGUUGUGUUUUGUUUGGUUUAAAUUAUUUUUUUGCUUAAAGACAAGUAAUAUAGUGCCUUUUAGGGUAGUAAAAUGUAAUGCCUUUUAGCGUAGUAAAAUGUAGUGCCUUUUAGGGUAAUAAAAUGUAAUGCCUUUUAACGUAGCAAAAUAUAGUAUCUUUUAAUGUAGUAUAAUGUAGUGCUUUUUAGCGUAGUAAAAUAUAGUGCCUUUCAACGUAGUUUCCCUAUAGUUUAAGUAUACUUAAAAAUACGCCAAAUAACUGAUAGAUCAAACACAAACUUUGUCCAAUUAUAUUCAACAUAUAUUUGAUGUUACUGAGCCACAAAUAUCGAGCCUAGAACCCAUAUGAAUCUUUAAUAAUUAAAUAUUAGAUAAUUAUAAAAAUUAAUUAUUUAAUUUACAAACAAAUAUAUAAAAUUAUAAAACUAACACAUAGAAGAAUUUAGGAUAAAUUGGUGCUACUGGGCCGCAAAUAUCAAGCCUGGAACCUAUAUGUGAAAAUUUAAUAGUAAAAAUUAAUUAUUUAAUUUACAAACUAACAUAUAAAAGUAUAAUAAAACUAACACAUCGAAGAAUUGGUGCUACUGGGCCGCAAAUAUCGAGCCUAGGACCCAUUUGUCAAUAUUUAGUUAUAAAACUUAAUUAUUUAAUUCACAAACUAACAUAUAAAAUUAUAAUAAAACUAAUACAUCAAAGAAUUUGUGCUACUGGGCUGCAAAUAUCGAGCCUGAAACCCAUAUGCCAAUAUUUAAUUAUAAAAUUUUAAUUAUUUAAUCCAAAAACAAACAUAUAAAUUAUAAUAAAACUAACACAUCGAAGAAUUGGUUCUACUGGGCUCUAAAUAUGGAACCUGGAACCCAUAUGUCAAUAUUCAAUUAUAAAAUUUUAAUUAUUUAAUCCAAAAACAAACAUAUAAAAUUAUAAUAAAACUAACAUGUAAUUAAUGUUGUUUAAUUUACAGUAGACGACAUGGAGACGCCGCCUAUUCAUCCCAGACCUUUUAGCGAUGAGCUACUCUCGUUGCAGGGCGGCCAUAGGUCAGCCCACAUAUGGGAGGGUGAAUUACUAAUCCAGAC